CCAAACAUGUMGGCUAACCCCUUCCUUUACGA
rnacentral:tRNA from 1 species